UACAAGAAGUUCCUCUAUGAGCCUUUCCCUGUUGAGUCCAGCCUCCUCACUGUGCUGUCCGACCAUCUGAAUGCUGAGAUUUCUGCAGGAACCAUCUCGUCC